GACUCGGUGGCGCAAAGGUAGCGCGUCUGACUCCAGAUCAGAAGGUUGCGUGUUCGAAUCACGUCCGGGUCA
rnacentral:tRNA from 1 species